GGCUAUGGGAGGUUAGGCUACGUGUAAAUAGCUGAACUUAGGCCGAACAUGUGAACUAUAUCUGGCUAAACAGUAAUCAAGAUUAUAAAUAAUAAAACUGAAUAGGUAAGUUAGUUUAACAUAAAAGUUUAAACCGCGAAUUAGCAACAGAACUCGUGGACGUUCAUGUCCCUGGUAAUGAGGUCAGGAGAGCUGCAGAAGUGGAGGGGACAACUCUCGUUAGGUCUCGUGCAUGUGUGCUGGAUCGUUGUGCAGGGUUAAGACUUCAGAGAAAAUUUGGUGCUUCAGCAAGCAUUGAAAUGUUGUACAGUCCCUUUGUGUUACACCUCUAGGAAGCUGGGUGAUCUCCAGUGAUAUUCUAUUCCUGCCAUUCUAAGUUGGCUGGUGACAGGGUUCAGGGAUCUUUGCCAUUGCAGUGUGGACCUUGUGAAGUCUUGGUAGAAAGAGAGGUUAGAACCUUCAAAGGUUAGUGGCGACUUGCCCCGUAGUGCUGUCAGCAAGGAUCUUUCAUCCUGUGACGUGGAACAAAAGACG